rnacentral:lncRNA from 10 species
CUGGCAGAGGUGGUUGGGGCUAUGUGCCUGGAGUGAAGAUUCUGCCCAUUGGUCAAGAGACCUCCCUCUCAGAUGCUGGCUCUGCCCCUGCCUUUGGGGGUCGACCCUUGUACUCGCAGGACCUUAGGUGACUCUAUUCUACUUCUCUGAUCAUCCAGGAAGCCAACCUGCCUGAGGACGAGUCAUACUCUGUCCUCCCACCCCAGGCCAGAGAGUGGUAUCUGUCUUUCCACAAGUUAUGGACGUCUGGAAUCAGGUGGCUCACAGUCAUUCCAGUAUUUCCUGGAUAGGACCGAACAGUCCGAUUCUUGCACAUCUAAGACUAAGUAAUAUACAGUUGUAUUUUCCUGAGGAAUGCCAAAAGCAACAUGAGCUGGCCAUAAAGACAUUCUCUGACCUACUCUGUUUGAUAGUAGGUCCUCAGAUCCGCAUUCCAAAGGGAUCCUGUCCCAUACUUGGGAGCAAGAAAUGCCACACAGAGAGGCCAUGAAGAACUCAAACAGAGAGGCCUUGCUGGGUCCUUCUUUCAGUCUAUGACUCUUAGAUUACAGCCUUUUGUCCCAUCACACUUCUGCAUUCUGCACAGCCUUUGUGAAUUCUAAGUAUGCAAGUGGCCAGUUUCUUUGGAUAUCUGAGUCUUCAUUUAUGAAGACUCCAGUGUCAGGACCAUAUUGCGACUGAAACAAGGCAUAACAGGUCUUUGACUGGCUAUCCUGUGGAUGUGGACUCAGGCUAGCCUGCGCAAAGUGAAAGACAGGCAAUUAGAUUGAAAAAUACCUGUGAUUCAAAGAAGUCACAAGUCACAGAGACAAACUUUUCCCAGUGUGUUCGAGUCAGAGAACCUUUGCAAAGACCAACAGGCUAAAAGAGAAAAUACAAUGUCAUGACACAGCUAGAAUAUGUUU